GACGAACGCUGGCGGCGUGCUUAACACAUGCAAGUCGAACGAAGUGGCGAACGGGUGAGUAACGCGUAAUCAAACUGCCCUUCAGAGGGGGACAACAGUUGGAAACGACUGCUAAUACCGCAUACGGAAGGAGGGGAUUGCGGAUGCUUAGCUAGUUGGGGGGGAAACGGCCCACCAAGGCGAGGAUCAGUAGCCGGGCUGAGAGGAUUAACGGCCACAUUGUGACUGAGACACGGCCCAGACUCCUACGGGAGGCAGCCGUGGGGAAUCUUCCGCAAUGGACGAAAGUCUGACGGAGCAACGCCGCGUGAGUGAUGACGGCCUUCGGGUUGUAAAGCUCUGUUAAUCGGGACGCGGUACCGGAAUAGAAAGCCACGGCUAACUACGUGCCAGCAGCCGCGGUAAUUC
rnacentral:rRNA from 1 species